rnacentral:rRNA from 1 species
GACGAACGCUGGCGGCGUGCUUAAUACAUGCAAGUCGAACGGAAAGGCCCUGCUUUUGCUCGUUUCUCGAUUGGCGAACGCGUGAGUAACACGCGUGUAUCCCCUCCCUGACUUUGGGAUAUCUCUACGAAACUGCGGAUAAUACCCCGUAUAACCUCCUGCUGCACGUGGGUGUUUGGAGAGUUUCGGCGGUUCUGGAUGGAAUCGCUGUUUAUCAGCUUGUUGGUGAGGUAGUGGCGUACCAAGGCUUCGAAGGGUAGCCGGCCUGAGAGGGUGACCGGCCACAUUGGGACUGAGAUAGGGACCAGACGGCUACGGGAGGCAGCAGUGGGAGAUAUUGCAGAAUGGGGGGACGCGAGAUGAAGCGGCGUCGGGUGCGGGAUGACGGGUUUCGGGUUGUAAACCGCUUUGGAAUGUAACGUACAGUGAGUGACGGUAAUGGAUCAGGAAGCCACGGCUAACUACGUG